GAUAUUUUAUCAGUGAUAUUUAAUAAUCAUCAAUUUACAAGAUUGAUAAUAUAAUAUACAAGAUAAAAAUAUACAAAUGCAUUUAAAAUGGCAAGAAUUGCUUAUGAAUGUAAUCAAGUUAAUACAAAUAAUAUAACAAAUACAGCUGGAACAUUAAGACCAUUUUCUUGUACAGAUAAAUCAUGUCUUUAUUGUUGUUGUAAUGCACAAUGUUGUCUUCUUAUACAACGUAAACCACCAAAACAUUUUUGGGAAGCUUGGUAUUUUUGGCUUGGUGUUGCUAUAUUAAUACUAUUCAUCAUUUCUUCUGUAAGCAAUUAUUUACUGGUGAAUUAUCGUCAAAGCUGGAUGACACUACCAUUUGUAUCUGGUCAAUCAAUUGGUGAUAAUAAUCAUCGUGUUGAUGAUAAUAAUAUUUCAAUUCAUGUUAUUCCAAUACCAACAACUGAUGUUACAUCAACAACCAACAAGAAAUUAUUUCUCUAUCCACCAGAAUCAAGUGUUUCACAUAUGAAUACUUUGGAAUGUCUUCUUACUCAUCCGUUUUCUUCCUCUUUAUUCAUCUCCUCCAAUAAUGUUCUCCCAUCAGGCAUAUGGUUAAUAUUGCAAACAAAAAAAAAAAAUAUAAAUAUAUAUAAAAAGUUGUUCUUAAUUUUCUUCAUCUUUAUCAUUUUUUUAAACCCGUUUUUCUCUCUUUAAUUCUCUCUUUCCUCCUCAAUUUUUAUAAACAGAGGAUCCAGAUGGGCGUAACUCCCAUUAACAAUUAAGAAGACAUGUCCGAAGGGGCCUUUUGAGUGAGUCGGAAGAUAGGACCAUGUGGAUCUGGUGGACCCUCUGUCCAUAGUUCAUGAACUUUGUUCGUUGAAUUUUUUUUUUUUUUUUUGUUAUCUAAAU